rnacentral:rRNA from 1 species
AUUGAACGCUGGCGGCAGGCCUAACACAUGCAAGUCGAACGAGUGGCGGACGGGUGAGUAAUGCCUGGGAAACUGGCUGAUGGAGGGGGAUAACUACUGGAAACGGUAGCUAAUACCGCAUACCAUCAGAUGUGCCCAGAUGGGAUUAGCUAGUGGGUGGGGUAACGGCUCACAAAGGCGACGAUCCCUAGCUGGUCUGAGAGGAUGACCGCCCACACUGGAACGGAGACACGGUCCAGACUCCUACGGGAGGCAGCGUUGGGGAAUAUUGCACAAUGGGCGCAAGCCGGAUGCAGCCAUGCGGGGUGUAUGAGGCAGGCCUUCGGGUUUAAAAGUACGUUCAGCGGGGCGGCGUUACCCGCAGAAGAAGCACCGGCUAACUCCGUGCCAGCCGCCGCGGUAAUUC